rnacentral:rRNA from 1 species
AACGAACGCUGGCGGCAGACCUAACACAUGCAAGUCGAACGGACGUAGCAAUACGUUAGUGGCGCACGGGAGAGUAACACGUGGGAACCUACCUUUUGGUUCGGGAUAACGUCGGGAAAUUGACGCUAAUACCGGAUAAGCCCUAUGGGGGAAAGAUUUAUUGCCAAAAGAUGGGCCCGCGUUAGAUUAGCUAGUUGGUGAGGUAAUGGCUCACCAAGGCUACGAUCUAUAGCUGGUCUGAGAGGAUGACCAGCCUCACUGGGACUGAGACACGGCCCAGACUCCUACGGGAGGCAGCAGUGGGGAAUAUUGGACAAUGGGGGCAACCCUGAUCCAGCCAUGCCGCGUGAAUGAUGAAGGCCUUCGGGUUGUAAAGUUCUUUUGGUAGGGACGAUAAUGACGGUACCUACAGAAUAAGCUCCGGCUAACUUCGUGCCAGCCGCCGCUGUAA